UGCAUUCACUACUGUAAGUCGCUCUGGAUAAGAGCGUCUACUUAAUGACUAAAA
rfam:Salmo salar isolate Sally breed double haploid chromosome ssa19, whole genome shotgun sequence.